AACUAGUCAGAGUGCACUCGUGUUUACAACUAACUCAUCACAACCAGUUACAGAUUCUUUUGUUCUUUCUCCAUUCCCACAGCUUCGUCUGACUAGCAUUAA
rnacentral:Y_RNA from 1 species